AGAGUCGCCAUUUAACAUUAAAUAUCUUCUUGAUCGGCAAACUCAUCAAACACCAAGUGUUUCUUUUCCAACAGCACGCGCUAUCGGUGGAGCAAGCAGCCAACGAUUUGAUCGCCAGUACGCGCCAUCAAGAAUUGAUAUUUUGCCAAACAGUACUGUGAAUAAAAAACUGCACACUUACUGUCGGAA